CUACGGGAUGCUGCAGUGAGGAAUAUUCCGCAAUGGGCGAAAGCCUGACGGAGCAAUGCCGCGUGUGGGAUGACGUCCUUCGGGAUGUAAACCACUUUUAUAAGGGAACAAGAUCUGAGGGUACCUUAUGAAUAAGCCACGGCUAAUCACGUGCCAGCAGCCGCGGUAAUACGUGAGUGGCAAGCGUUAUCCGGAAUUAUUGGGCGUAAAGCGUCACCAGGAGGAAAAAUAAGUCAGAUGUAAAAGACUACGGCUCAACCGUAGGAAAGCAUCUGAAACUGUUCUUCUAGAAGGCAGUAGAGGCAGAUGGAAUUCCCGGAGUAGGAGUAAUAUCCGUUGAUAUCGGGAGGAACACCAAUAGCGAAGGCAAUCUGCUGGGCUGACCUUGACUCUCACUGACGAAAGCGUGGGUAGCAAACGGGAUUAGAUACCCUGGUAGUC
rnacentral:rRNA from 1 species